rnacentral:lncRNA from 1 species
GCUGUGGCUCCUCGGGCAAAAUCUGUACGGGCAAAGAAACCUAUAAAGUACCUGGAAGAGUCAGAUGAAGAUGAUCUGUUUUAAAAUCUCUUGACCUGUCCCCUCUGGCUGCCUCUGAGUCUGAAUCUCCCAAAGAGAGAAACCAAUUUCUAAGAGGACUGGAUUGCAGAAGACUCGGGGACAACAUUUGAUCCAAGAUCUUAAAUGUUAUAUUGAUAACCAUGCUCAGCAAUGAGCUAUUAGAUUCAUUUUGGGAAAUCUCCAUAAUUUCAAUUUGUAAACUUUGUUAAGACCUGUCUACAUUGUUAUAUGUGUGUGACUUGAGUAAUGUUAUCAACGUUUUUGUAAAUAUUUACUAUGUUUUUCUAUUAGCUAAAUUCCAACAAUUUUGUACUUUAAUAAAAUGUUCUAAACAUUGCA